UGGCGGUAAUGUGUAGUCACUUACCGACGAAAAAAUAUGUCAGUAAAUCGUAUGCUACUUACCAACGGUAAAUCCGUCGGUAAUGCAACGUGAAAAGAGCGGAAAUUUUCCCACACAUUUUUCAUUUAUUGGCGGAAAGAGCAAGAAUUUUCUAGCCCAACCUUUCUCUCUCAUUGCGAACCAUACAUUAUUAAUUUUUUUUCUACUUCUCUCUCUCUUUCAUUCCAGACUCUUCUUUCUUCUCCUUCCCCACUUCCAAUUUAUUUCUUCUUUCUUCUUCUUCUUCUUCUUCUUCAAAUCUCCCUUAUCUUCUCAAUUUCUCCCACACCAUCUCCAUUGUGCCAUGUCGCCGCCACCAUCUUCGUCAAGCCAUGUCGUCACCGUCGUCUCUCUUGAGCCACGCCGCUGUCGUCGUCUUCGUUGAGCCAUGUCGUCAUUGUCGUCUCCUUUUUUCGCUCCAUCUUCUUCUUCUCUAACAUGUGAAAGGGAGUGAUGAUGCUUCUAUUCUUCCACUAUUGUUGAGCCACACACCAUGCUUCCAAACCCCACUUCUCAUUUCCUCUAUUUUAUUUUUUGUAUGAAAUUGUUGUAAUGCUCAUAAUAUGUGUAUGCUUUUACAUAAUAAAACAAAUGAAAGUAUACAAAAAUAUUUGUUACAUUUAUGAAUAUGGGUAGAUAAAUUUUCUAAUUAGAACAAAUAAAAAUUAAAUAUUAAGAAAAAAAAGUGAAUGUGUUAUAGAUAAGUAUAAUUUACUCGGCACUAGUUUUUUAUUUGUGUGCUAGACUUCUUAUGCAACG
rnacentral:lncRNA from 1 species